rnacentral:rRNA from 1 species
GAUGAACGCUGGCGGCGUGCUUAACACAUGCAAGUCGAGSGAAGCACUUACCAUUGACUCUUCGGAAGAUUUGGUAAAUGACUGAGCGGCGGACGGGKGAGUAACGCGKGGGUAACCUGCCUCAUACAGGGGAAUAACAGUUAGAAAUGGCUGCUAAUGCCGCAUAAGCGCACAGUACCGCAUGGUACGGUGUGAAAAACCGAGGUGGUAUGAGAUGGACCCGCGUCUGAUUAGGUAGUUGGUGGGGUAACGGCCUACCAAGCCGACGAUCAGUAGCCGGCCUGAGAGGGUGAACGGCCACAUUGGGACUGAGACACGGCCCAGACUCCUACGGGAGGCAGCAGUGGGGAAUAUUGCACAAUGGGGGAAACCCKGGUGCAGCGACGCCGCGUGAAGGAAGAAGUAUCUCGGUA